rnacentral:rRNA from 1 species
GAUGAACGCUGACAGAAUGCUUAAUACAUGCAAGUCAACUGUGGCGGACGGGUGAGUAACGCGUAAAGAACUUGCCUCACGGUUAGGGACAACAUUUGGAAACGAAUGCUAAUACCUGAUACUGUGAGAGAGCUUUGCGUCCCAUUAGCUAGUUGGAGAGGUAACGGCUCACCAAGGCGAUGAUGGGUAGCCGGCCUGAGAGGGUGAUCGGCCACAAGGGGACUGAGAGACGGCCCUUACGGCGACUGGAGGCAGGAGCGGGGAAUAGUAGACAAAGUACCAAAGGCUGAUCCAGGAAUUCGGGGUGCACGAUGAAGUUUUCGGAAUGUAAAGUGCUUUAAGUUGGGAAGCGGUACCAACAGAAAAAGUGACGGCUAAAUACGUGCCAGCAGCCGCGGUAAUGC